rnacentral:lncRNA from 1 species
UAAAAUAACGUGGGUGGUAACAAGUAAACUUCCCCAGUCUAAGGAAAACAAUGAAUGAUAUUUUUAGUGAAGAGGAGGAGAAAAGUUUGGGAAAUUUCAAAUUGGUUGGGGACUUUUGCGACCUAUGAAUUUGACUUUGUAAGCCCUCCGCCUUCUUUCUACCGGUUAGGCCGGAGAAAGAUCUGCUGGACCGUAAAAGUUUUCUCUCGGCUUGGGUCUUUUUUUUUUUCCUUUCCUUUUCUUCCUUUCCCGGAGGAAAGAAGAAAGGGAGAGGGGAAAAGGGGACGAUGGGAAGAGCAUCUUGGAUACCGUCAAA